UACGAAGGGGGCUAGCGUUGUUCGGAAUCACUGGGCGUAAAGCGCACGUAGGCGGAUUUUUAAGUCAGGGGUGAAAUCCCGGGGCUCAACCUCGGAACUGCCUUUGAUACUGGAGAUCUUGAGUCCGGAAGAGGUAAGUGGAACUGCGAGUGUAGAGGUGAAAUUCGUAGAUAUUCGCAAGAACACCAGUGGCGAAGGCGGCUUACUGGUCCGGAACUGACGCUGAGGUGCGAAAGCGUGGGGAGCGAUCCGG
rnacentral:rRNA from 1 species